UACGGGGGGGCAAGCGUUGUUCGGAAUUACUGGGCGUAAAGGGCUCGUAGGUGGCCAACUAAGUCGGACGUGAAAUCCCUCGGCUUAACCGGGGAACUGCGUCCGAUACUGGUUGGCUUGAGUUUGGGAGAGGGAUGCGGAAUUCCAGGUGUAGCGGUGAAAUGCGUAGAUAUCUGGAGGAACACCGGUGGCGAAGGCGGCGACCUGGGUGGAUACUGACGCUGAGGCGCGAAAGCGUGGGGAGCAAACAGG
rnacentral:rRNA from 1 species